GGGUUGUGAGGUUAAGCGACUAAGCGUACACGGUGGAUGCCCUGGCAGUCAGAGGCGAUGAAGGACGUGCUAAUCUGCGAAAAGCGACGGCGAGGUGAUAUGAACCUUUGACCCGUCGAUGUCCGAAUGGGGAAACCCAGUGUGUUUCGACACACUAUCGUUAACUGAAUACAUAGGUUAACGAGGCGAACCGGGGGAACUGAAACAUCUAAGUACCCCGAGGAAAAGAAAUCAACCGAGAUUCCCCCAGUAGCGGCGAGCGAACGGGGAGCAGCCCGGAGUCUGAAUCAGCUUGUGUGUUAGUGGAACGGUCUGGAAAGUCCGACGGUACAGGGUGAUAGUCCCGUACACGAAAAUGCACAUGCUGUGAACUCGAAGAGUAGGGCGGGACACGUGGUAUCCUGUCUGAAUAUGGGGGGACCAUCCUCCAAGGCUAAAUACUCCUGACUGACCGAUAGUGAACCAGUACCGUGAGGGAAAGGCGAAAAGAACCCCGGCGAGGGGAGUGAAAAAGAACCUGAAACCGUGUACGUACAAGCAGUGGGAGCACCUUCGGGUGUGACUGCGUACCUUUUGUAUAAUGGGUCAGCGACUUAUAUUCUGUAGCAAGGUUAACCGUAUAGGGGAGCCGAAGGGAAACCGAGUCUUAACUGGGCGUUAAGUUGCAGGGUAUAGACCCGAAACCCGGUGAUCUAGCCAUGGGCAGGUUGAAGGUUGGGUAACACUAACUGGAGGACCGAACCGACUAAUGUUGAAAAAUUAGCGGAUGACCUGUGGCUGGGGGUGAAAGGCCAAUCAAACCGGGAGAUAGCUGGUUCUCCCCGAAAGCUAUUUAGGUAGCGCCUCGUGAAUUCAUCUUCGGGGGUAGAGCACUGUUUCGGCUAGGGGGCCAUCCCGGCUUACCAACCCGAUGCAAACUACGAAUACCGAAGAAUGUUAUCACGGGAGACACACGGCGGGUGCUAACGUCCGUCGUGAAGAGGGAAACAACCCAGACCGCCAGCUAAGGUCCCAAAGUCAUGGUUAAGUGGGAAACGAUGUGGGAAGGCACAGACAGCCAGGAUGUUGGCUUAGAAGCAGCCAUCAUUUAAAGAAAGCGUAAUAGCUCACUGGUCGAGUCGGCCUGCGCGGAAGAUGUAACGGGGCUAAACCAUGCACCGAAGCUGCGGCAGCGACGCUUAUGCGUUGUUGGGUAGGGGAGCGUUCUGUAAGCCGUUGAAGGUGUGCUGUGAGGCAUGCUGGAGGUAUCAGAAGUGCGAAUGCUGACAUAAGUAACGAUAAAGCGGGUGAAAAGCCCGCUCGCCGGAAGACCAAGGGUUCCUGUCCAACGUUAAUCGGGGCAGGGUGAGUCGACCCCUAAGGCGAGGCCGAAAGGCGUAGUCGAUGGGAAACAGGUUAAUAUUCCUGUACUUGGUGUUACUGCGAAGGGGGGACGGAGAAGGCUAUGUCAGCCGGGCGACGGUUGUCCCGGUUUAAGCAUGUAGGCGGAGGUUCCAGGUAAAUCCGGUACCUUAUUAACGCUGAGGUGUGAUGACGAGGCACUACGGUGCUGAAGUGAUAAAUGCCCUGCUUCCAGGAAAAGCCUCUAAGCAUCAGGUAACACGAAAUCGUACCCCAAACCGACACAGGUGGUCAGGUAGAGAAUACCAAGGCGCUUGAGAGAACUCGGGUGAAGGAACUAGGCAAAAUGGUGCCGUAACUUCGGGAGAAGGCACGCUGAUAUGUAGGUGAAGUCCCUGCGGACGGAGCUGAAAUCAGUCGAAGAUACCAGCUGGCUGCAACUGUUUAUUAAAAACACAGCACUGUGCAAACACGAAAGUGGACGUAUACGGUGUGACGCCUGCCCGGUGCCGGAAGGUUAAUUGAUGGGGUUAGCGGCAACGCGAAGCUCUUGAUCGAAGCCCCGGUAAACGGCGGCCGUAACUAUAACGGUCCUAAGGUAGCGAAAUUCCUUGUCGGGUAAGUUCCGACCUGCACGAAUGGCGUAAUGAUGGCCAGGCUGUCUCCACCCGAGACUCAGUGAAAUUGAACUCGCUGUGAAGAUGCAGUGUACCCGCGGCAAGACGGAAAGACCCCGUGAACCUUUACUAUAGCUUGACACUGAACACUGGUCCUUGAUGUGUAGGAUAGGUGGGAGGCUUUGAAGCGUGGACGCCAGUCUGCGUGGAGCCGUCCUUGAAAUACCACCCUUUAAUGGCUGGUGUUCUAACGUAGACCCGUGAUCCGGGUUGCGGACAGUGUCUGGUGGGUAGUUUGACUGGGGCGGUCUCCUCCCAAAGAGUAACGGAGGAGCACGAAGGUUGGCUAAUCCUGGUCGGACAUCAGGAGGUUAGUGCAAUGGCAUAAGCCAGCUUGACUGCGAGCGUGACGGCGCGAGCAGGUGCGAAAGCAGGUCAUAGUGAUCCGGUGGUUCUGAAUGGAAGGGCCAUCGCUCAACGGAUAAAAGGUACUCCGGGGAUAACAGGCUGAUACCGCCCAAGAGUUCAUAUCGACGGCGGUGUUUGGCACCUCGAUGUCGGCUCAUCACAUCCUGGGGCUGAAGUAGGUCCCAAGGGUAUGGCUGUUCGCCAUUUAAAGUGGUACGCGAGCUGGGUUUAGAACGUCGUGAGACAGUUCGGUCCCUAUCUGCCGUGGGCGCUGGAGAAUUGAGGGGGGCUGCUCCUAGUACGAGAGGACCGGAGUGGACGCAUCACUGGUGUUCGGGUUGUCAUGCCAAUGGCACUGCCCGGUAGCUAAAUGCGGAAGAGAUAAGUGCUGAAAGCAUCUAAGCACGAAACUUGCCCCGAGAUGAGUUCUCCCUGAGACUUUAAGUCUCCUGAAGGAACGUUGAAGACGACGACGUUGAUAGGUCGGGUGUGUAAGCGCAGCGAUGCGUUGAGCUAACCGAUACUAAUGAACCGUGAGGCUUAACCUUACAACGCCGAAGGUGUUU
rnacentral:rRNA from 1 species